UGUGUUUUUAUUGUUUUUUUGUUGGUUUUUUUUGUUUUGUUUUGUUUGUUUUUUUACAGUGGGAAUACCUAAACUGCCAAUCAGAACUAAGACACCUAUGGUAGUAGAUGCAAGGACUUUGAUAACUUGUUUCCAGCCCAUGAAGAAUCCAUGGAACAAGUGAGGUGCUAAACAUCAGAUACAUGUGGAAGGGAGUGAUAUUCAGACAGCCUGUGUAUGCCCUCGAUGAAGAGAGGAAAAAAUAACCUUCCUUAUGUACACACACACCUUCAGAUCAGGGUAGUUGUUUAAAUUUGUUGACAAAGACCAGGUAAAAGUGAGAUCCUUUGAAUGCACCUUGAUGAAGUCAGUUGCUUUCCAGUAUUUCUGCUGCUUUCCAGUAGUGCCAGUAGUCUCUGAGAACAUGAUGUGAAAACAGCCCAAAGCACAAGUUUCAUCCAGGAAAAGAAUGCCAUUCUUUGCAGAUACUGCAAGAUGACACAGGCAAAAUAUUUCCUAUCCCAGUUUCAGCACCAAGGAAUAGGAAUGCCUCAUGGCAGUGUCAAUUCAGCCAGAGAGCUGGACCCUGUACAAAUGUCCAGCUGGAUGAAAAAACCCUGAAAGAACAGUCUGCCAGAAAAAAACAACAGUCAAAACAGGAAGUAUUGGAACCUUACAGCAUUGAUAUUAGCCUAGAAUUUUCUCUAUUUUUAUGGGCCUCCAUAUGGCAGUGUUUGUUGAGGAGAAAGAAUUUAUAG
rnacentral:lncRNA from 1 species